rnacentral:rRNA from 1 species
CCCUUAGAUGUUCUGGGCCGCACGCGCGCUACACUGAUGCGUUCAACGAGUAUAAAACCUUGAUCGAUAGGUCUGGGUAAUCUUGUGAAUGCGCAUCGUGCUAGGGAUAGACUGUUGCAAUUUUCAGUCUUGAACGAGGAAUUCCUAGUAAACGCAAGUCAUCAGCUUGCAUUGAUUACGUCCCUGCCCUUUGUACACACCGCCCGUCACACCUACCGAUUGAAUGACUCGGUGAAAAAUUGGGACCGUGAGUCUGUUUGCUUAAUUGCGAGUGGAUUGAUGGGAACUUUUUUAAACCUCGCCAUUUAGAGGAAGGUGAAGUCGUAACAAGGUUUCCGUAGGUGAACCUGCGGAAGGAUCAUUA